UACGUAGGGUGCGAGUGUUGUCCGGAAUUAUUGGGCGUAAAGAGCUCGUAGGCGGUCUGUCGCGUCGGUCGUGAAAACUUGGGGCUUAACCCUGAGCUUGCGGUCGAUACGGGCAUGACUGGAGUUCGGCAGGGGAGACUGGAAUUCCUGGUGUAGCGGUGAAAUGCGCAGAUAUCAGGAGGAACACCGGUGGCGAAGGCGGGUCUCUGGGCCGAUACUGACGCUGAGGAGCGAAAGCGUGGGGAGCGAACAGG
rnacentral:rRNA from 1 species